rnacentral:piRNA from 1 species
UGGGAGGCCGAUUGACUGACGGUCA